rnacentral:rRNA from 1 species
UAAUACGAAGGGGGCUAGCGUUGUUCGGAAUGACUGGGCGUAAAGGGCGCGUAGGCGGCGGACUAAGUCAGGCGUGAAAGCCCUGGGCUUAACCUGGGAAUUGCGUUUGAUACUGGUUUGCUUGAGUGCGGGAGAGGAUGGUGGAAUUCCCAGUGUAGAGGUGAAAUUCGUAGAUAUUGGGAAGAACACCGGUGGCGAAGGCGGCCAUCUGGACCGUUACUGACGCUGAGGCGCGAAAGCGUGGGGAGCAAACAGGAUUAGAUACCCUGGUAGUCCACGCUGUAAACGAUGUGUGCUAGACGUUGGGGGUUAAGCCUCCGGUGUCGCAGCCAACGCGUUAAGCACACCGCCUGGGGAGUACGGCCGCAAGGUUA